rnacentral:sRNA from 1 species
AUUUCCUCUUCUCCUCAUUGUGAACUCGUGGCAGGGUCUGCUUGGUGAGCUCAUUCUCUUACAACAACAAAUUCAAGAGCGUGAAGAGGAAGCGCGCAGAGCCGCUGGCCAAUAUAGCACGAGCUAUGCCCAACAGAAGCGCAAGGUGUCAGACAAAGAGAAAAUUGACCAACUUCAGGAAGAACUUCUGCACACUCAGUUAAAGUAUCAGAGAAUCUUGGAACGAUUAGAAAAGGAGAACAAAGAAUUGAGAAAAUUAGUAUUGCAGAAAGAUGACAAAGGCAUUCAUCAUAGAAAGCUUAAGAAAUCUUUGAUUGACAUGUAUUCUGAAGUUCUUGAUGUUCUCUCUGAUUAUGAUGCCAGUUAUAAUACUCAAGAUCAUCUGCCACGGGUUGUUGUGGUUGGAGAUCAGAGUGCUGGAAAGACUAGUGUGUUGGAAAUGAUUGCCCAAGCUCGAAUAUUCCCGAGAGGAUCUGGGGAGAUGAUGA